rnacentral:rRNA from 1 species
UUGGAGGGCAAGUCUGGUGCCAGCAGCCGCGGUAAUUCCAGCUCCAAUAGCGUAUAUUAAAGUUGUUGCAGUUAAAAAGCUCGUAGUUGAAUUUCGGGAUCAGAGUGUCGGUCGUGCCUCGGUACGCACUGGUAUUAUUGGUUCCUACCUUCUGAAGAACCGCGAUGUCAUUAAUUUGGUGUCGUGGGGAAUCAGGACUGUUACUUUGAAAAAAUUAGAGUGUUUAAAGCAGGCUUACGCUUGAAUACAUUAGCAUGGAAUAAUGAAAUAGGACGUUUGAUUCUAUUUUGUUGGUUUCUAGGAUUGACGUAAUGAUUAAUAGGGAUAGUUGGGGGCAUUAGUAUUCAAUUGUCAGAGGUGAAAUUCUUGGAUUUAUUGAAGACUAACUACUGCGAAAGCAUUUGCCAAGGAUGUUUUCAUUAAUCAAGAACGAAAGUUAGGGGAUCGAAGACGAUCAGAUACCGUCGUAGUCUUAACCAUAAACUAUGCCGACUAGGGAUCGGAUGUUAAUUUUUUAAUGACUCAUUCGGCGCCUUACGGGAAAC